GAUGAACGCUGGCGGCGUGCCUAAUACAUGCAAGUCGGGCGAACGGACGAGAAGCUUGCUUUUCUGAUGUUAGCGGCGGACGGGUGAGUAACACGUGGAUAACCUACCUAUAAGACUGGGAUAACUUCGGGAAACCGGAGCUAAUACCGGAUAAUAUUUUGAACCGCAUGGUUCAAAAGUGAAAGACGGUCUUGCUGUCACUUAUAGAUGGAUCCGCGCUGCAUUAGCUAGUUGGUAAGGUAACGGCUUACCAAGGCAACGAUGCAUAGCCGACCUGAGAGGGUGAUCGGCCACACUGGAACUGAGACACGGUCCAGACUCCUACGGGAGGCAGCAGUAGGGAAUCUUCCGCAAUGGGCGAAAGCCUGACGGAGCAACGCCGCGUGAGUGAUGAAGGUCCUCGGAUCGUAAAACUCUGUUAUUAGGGAAGAACAUAUGUGUAAGUAACUGUGCACAUCUUGACGGUACCUAAUCAGAAAGCCACGGCGAACUACGU
rnacentral:rRNA from 1 species